rnacentral:rRNA from 1 species
GACGAACGCUGGCGGCGUGCUUAACACAUGCAAGUCGAACGGAAAGGCCCUGCUUUUGUGGGGUGCUCGAGUGGCGAACGGGUGAGUAACACGUGAGUAACCUGCCCUUGACUUUGGGAUAACUUCAGGAAACUGGGGCUAAUACCGGAUAGGAGCUCCUGCUGCAUGGUGGGGGUUGGAAAGUUUCGGCGGUUGGGGAUGGACUCGCGGCUUAUCCGCUUGUUGGUGGGGUAGUGGCUUACCAAGGCUUUGACGGGUAGCCGGCCUGAGAGGGGUACCGGCCACAUUGGGACUGAGAGACGGCCCAGACUCCUACGGGAGGCAGCAGUGGGGAAUAUUGCACAAUGGGCGGAAGCCUGAUGCAGCAACGCCGCGUGCGGGAUGACGGCCUUCGGGUUGUAAACCGCUUUCGCCUGUGACGAAGCGUGAGUGACGGUAAUGGGUAAAGAAGCACCGGCUAACUACGUG